rnacentral:misc_RNA from 1 species
GAUGAAGAACGUAGCGAAAUGCGAUAAGUAGUGUGAAUUGCAGAAUUCAGUGAAUCAUCGAAUCUUUGAACGCACAUUGCGCCCUUUGGUAUUCCUUAGGGCAUGCCUGUUCGAGCGUCAUUUAAACCUUCAAGCUAAGCUUGGUGUUGGGUGACUGUCCGCUUCACGGCGGACUCGCCUCAAAAUUAUUGGCGGCCGGUACAUUGGCUUCGAGCGCAGCAGAAACGCGAACUCGGGCCCGUCGUAUUGGCUCCCAGAAGCUAUCUUCACAAUUUUGACCUCGGAUCAGGUAGGGAUACCCGCUGAACUUAAGCAUAUCAAUAAGCGAGGA